AUACGUAGGUGGCAAGCGUUGUCCGGAAUUAUUGGGCGUAAAGCGCGCGCAGGUGGUUCCUUAAGUCUGAUGUGAAAGCCCCCGGCUCAACCGGGGAGGGUCAUUGGAAACUGGGGAACUUGAGUGCAGAAGAGGAUAGUGGAAUUCCAAGUGUAGCGGUGAAAUGCGUAGAGAUUUGGAGGAACACCAGUGGCGAAGGCGACGGUCUGGUCUGUAACUGACACUGAGGCGCGAAAGCGUGGGGAGCAAACAGGAUUAGAUACCCUGGUAGUCCACGCCGUAAACGAUGAGUGCUAAGUGUUGGGGGGUUUCCGCCCCUCAGUGCUGCAGCUAACGCAUUAAGCACUCCGCCUGGGGAGUACGGUCGCAAGACUGAAACUCAAAUGAAUUGACGGG
rnacentral:rRNA from 1 species